rnacentral:rRNA from 1 species
AACCUCCGCAAUGUGAGAAAUCGCGACGGGGGGAUCCCAAGUGCCAUUCUUAACGGGAUGGCUUUUCAUUAGUGUAAAGAGCUUUUGGAAUAAGGGCUGGGCAAGACCGGUGCCAGCCGCCGCGGUAACACCGGCAGCUCUAGUGGUAGCAGUUUUUAUUGGGCCUAAAGCGUCCGUAGCCGGUUUAAUAAGUCUCUGGUGAAAUCCUGUAGCUUAACUGUGGGAAUUGCUGGAGAUACUAUUAGACUUGAGACCGGGAGAGGUUAGAGGUACUCCCAGGGUAGAGGUGAAAUUCUGUAAUCCUGGGAGGACCGCCUGUUGCGAAGGCGUCUAACUGGAACGGUUCUGACGGUGAGGGACGAAAGUUAGGGGCGCGAACCGGAUUAGAUACCCGGGUAGUCCCUAAUGUAAACGAUGCGGACUUGGUGUUGGGGUGGCUUUGAGCUGCUCCAGUGCCGAAGGGAAGCUGUUAAGUCCGCCGCCUGGGAAGUACGGUCGCAAGACUGAAACUUAAAAGGAUG